UACGUAGGGAGCGAGCGUUAUCCGGAUUUAUUGGGUGUAAAGGGUGCGUAGGCGGCUUUACAGGUCUGUGGUUUAAGCCUGGAGCUUAACUCCAGUUCGCCACAGAAACCGUUUAGCUUGAGUACAGUAGAGGCAAGUGGAAUUUCUAGUGUAGCGGUAAAAUGCGUAGAUAUUAGAAGGAACACCGGUGGCGAAGGCGACUUGCUGGGCUGUUACUGACGCUGAGGCACGAAAGCGUGGGGAGC
rnacentral:rRNA from 1 species